rnacentral:misc_RNA from 1 species
UGGAGAACACCCUUAUGUUGAACACCCUUCUCGAACUCUUUUUGUGAAAAAUAUAAAUAGCGAUGUUGAAGAUUCUGAGUUAAGAGCCUUAUUUGAGCAAUAUGGAGAUAUCCAUACUCUUUAUACAUCAUGCAAGCAUCGUGGUUUUGUUAUGAUCUCCUAUUAUGAUAUUAGAGCUGCAAGCAAUGCGAUGACAGCACUCCAGGAUUCACCACUGAGGCAUCGGAAACUUGACAUUCAUUACUCAAUCCCAAAGGAC